rnacentral:lncRNA from 1 species
GGGAGUUCUCGGUGCUGUAGGCUUUCGGGACGCUGUGUAUGCCCGGCAGGGGCUUCCAGUGGGGGCCACCCCAAGUCGCCUCCAGCGGGCGGAAGCGGUCGAGCCGGCGGAGCGGGUGCGGCGAGGAGCUGUAGGUUUCCUGAGCCGGAGACAUGGCCCGCCGUGCGGCGCUCGAGGCGGCCUGGAAGAGCAGAGACAGGGCUGCCGCUGCGGGUCGUGACUCCAGAGUUGGGGCGUCUCUUCUAAGCUCCAGUAGCCAACUGUAGUCAUGGUGACUACCGCCCACCAGAAGGACUCAGGGAUGCUAGUGAAAUGGGAGUCCACCCGGUCAACUUCGGCAAAGUAGACGGCGCUGGAAAAGAGGACCACACCGAUGAAGAGGAAAAAGAUGAGGAGGCCCAGCUCACGCAUGGAGGCCCGAAGCGUCUGGCCCAAGAUUUGCAGGCCCUUUGAGUGCCGGGACAGCUUGAAGAUGCGGAA